rnacentral:pre_miRNA from 12 species
CGUGACCUACCCUGUAGUUCCGGGCUUUUGUUUAUAUUGCGUUCGAUGCAUUGUCGGACUGCUGGCUCGAUUAUCAGAAGCUCGUCUCUACAGGUAUCUCACAG